GAAGUGUCUAGGCUAGGGGCUGAAUCAGAGCUGCAGCUGCCGGCCUACGCCACACCCACAGCAAUGUGGGGUCCAAGCUUCAUCUGCAACCUGUACCACAGCUCACAGCAACACUGGAUCCUUAACCCACUGUGCCAGGCCAGGGAUUGAACCCACAUCCUCAUGGAUACUAGUUGGGUUCGUUACUGCUGAGCCACAUGGAAACUCCAAGAUUUUAUUUUUGACGUUUAAAAGAACUCAUGGAAACUGAGGAUAAAAAUAAAAUAACCUUUUAGAAAAAAAAUGGACAAAAGAUAGGAAGAGCUUAUGGAAAAGAAGGAAAAAUGAUUCUUAUAUAGUUGAAUAGAUGCUUAGAAAUUUUUAUAAUAAAAAAUACAAAAAAGGAGUUCCCUGGUGGCUCAGGGGGUUAAGGAUCCAACACUGCCACUGCUGUGGCUUGGGCUCAGGAAAUUCCACAUGCCUCAGAUGUGGCCAAAACACAAAACUGUAGUGCGAUACUGUUUCUUAUUUAUUAUAUUGGUAGAGUGGCCGACCAUCCUGAUUUUUCCCAGUACUGUCCAGGUUUUAGCGCGGAAAAUCCUCUGUCCCCAGAAACCCUUCAGUCCUCAGCAGACCAGGGUGGUUGGCUCUCCUACAUAUUGGCAGAAAUCCAAAAAUGGAACCAUACAUUCUUUUGACAAGGCUGUGUGGAAGCUGGCUGUCUUCUUGGCAGUAGGAAUGCAGAAUUGUAAAAUGCCUCUGGAAGAGGAUUUGUCUGUAUCUUGCAAAUUUUUAUAUGCUUCUAUUUUUUGGAUCUGGAAUCACAUAUCUAGGAAUCUGUCUUAAAGAUAUGCUGGCAAAAAUAUGAAGUGACUUAUGCAAAAAUCUAUUCAUUGCAGAACUAUUAUAGUAGAAAAACUAGAAACACCUGUCUGUCCAUCCCAGGAGUGAGUGCACAUACGGAGCCCUGUACAGCUGUCACACGGAGAGUCAGUCUAGUGUGUGAUUCAGGUCAGGACAAUGGUCAGCACCUUUUGGAACUUGAGUCUUUCUGGCUGCUGGUCAUCCAGUUCCUUGAACUGGAUGGUGGUUGCGUGGAUGGGUUUAUUUUGUGAAAAUGUAGUGCCUUCGCUUAUGAUUUGUGUACAUUUCUGUAUGGUAUUUGAGGUUAGUAACAAUGUUUCUUUUUUAAAAAGAAAAGAGUAAGGAAGACCUCUGUGGAACAAGCAAGGUACAGAAUAGAAUUUGUAGUUUGUUACAUUUUAUAUAGGAAGGGCUGGAAAGAAUGAAAAAUUACAUUUGUAAUGAAGCAGUAAAGCAGAAAAUUAAUAAAGAUACAUUGAGAGGAAGCGAGCAGGAUGAAGGCACAGGGAUGGGGUGAGACUUCUGUGUGAUACUUUUUUAGGAGGUUCUUUUACGAAAUUUGGGAAAUUUUUGGCUGUAGUUUCAUGUAUUUUUAUGUCCUAUUCUCUCAUAUUCCUCUGAGAUUUCAGUUGCACGCAUGGCGGACCAAUUUAUAUUGUUGCAUAGUUCAGUGAGUCUCUCUUCAUUUUUUUUCCUUUAUAUUGUACCCACAGCGUAUGGAAGUUCCCAGUCCAGGGAUCGAGUCCAAGCCGAAGCUGUGACCUGUGCCAUCCUGCAGCUAUGCCAGAUCCUUUAACCCACUGCUCUGGGCUGGGGAUCGAAUUUGCACCCCUACAGUGACCUGGGCUGUUGCAGUCAGAUUCUUAACCCGGUGCCACAGUGGGAACUCCCCUAUUCAUUUUUAAUAAAAACCUUUUUUCUGCUGCCUCAGAUUGAUUGGUUGCUGUUUAUCUUAGGUUUACUGACACUUUCUUUUUCAGUCUCCAAUUUCAUCAACUUCAUCCAGUAUAUAUUUUUACUUCAGAUGUAUUUUUUCAGUUGUAGAAUAGUCAUUUUUGUUUUUCUAUGUAGUUUGAGUUCUCUGCUGAGAUUUUACUUUUUCACUCAUUCUCUCUAUUCUGCUUUAAGUCCUUGAACAUGCGUAUUAUAACUGCUUUGAAAGCCAUUUCUGCUGAUUUCACCACCUGAGACACCUUGGGAUUUCUUUCUUUCUCCCUGAGUUCCUAGUCGGAUUCGUUAACCACUGAGCCACGACAGGAACUCCUUUGUUAGUUUUUUUUUUUUUUUUUUAAAUAUGUCCCAGGAGUUCCUGUCAUGCUGAGCAGUAACGAACCAGACUAGUAUCCAUGAGGAUGCAGGUUUGAUCCCUGGCCUUGCUCAGUGGGUUAAAGAUCCAGUGUUCCCAUGAGCUGUGGUGUAUAUGCCCAGAUGAGGCUCAGAUCCUGCAUGGCUGUGGCUGUGGUGUAGGCCGGCAGCUGUCGUAGCUCCCAUAUGACCCCUAGCCUGGGAACCUUCAUAUGCCUCGGGAGCAGCCCUAAAAAGACAAAAAAACAAAAACAAAAACAAAAAAACUGUCCCUUUCUCUUUCAGACUUUUAAAAUUUGUGUUUUGUUUUUUGGUGCAGUGUAAAAAGUAAAUCCAAGAAAUAAUGUCACGUUACCCACGGAUACUUCACUUUUUCUAACAAAUGAGGAACCAUUUAUUUUGAAAAACAUAGCCAUCAUAGAGUUCCUACAUGGCUCAGCAGGAGUUCCCCUUGUGGCUCAGUGGAAACGAAUCUGAUUAGCAUCCAUGAGAACGCAGGUUCAAUCCCUGGACUUGCUCAGUGGGUUAAGGAUCUGGCAUUGCCGUGAGCAGUGGUGCGGGUCCAAGACGCGGCUUGGAUGUGACGUUGCUGUGGCUGUGGUGGAGGCCGGCAGCUACAGCUCCGAUUCAACCCCUANNNNNNNNNNNNNNNNNNNNNNNNNNNNNNNNNNNNNNNNNNNNNNNNNNNNNNNNNNNNNNNNNNNNNNNNNNNNNNNNNUUGAUUUGUUUUAUUUUUUUAUUUUUGAUUUUUUUUUUGUCUUUUUAGGGCCAUACCCAUGGCAUAUGGAGGUUCCCAGGCUAGGGGUCGAAUCGGAGCUACAGCUUCCAGCCUGCACCACAGCUCAUGGCAAUGCCAGAUCCUUAACCCACUGAGCGAGGCCUGGGCUCAAACCUGCAACCUCUUGGUUCCUAGUUGGAUUGUUUCUGCUGCGCCACAAUGGGAACUCCUAGUCGAUCUGUUUUAAUUGGACCCAAACAAGAUCUAAAUAUUACAUUUGAUAAUUAUGUCUCAUAAAGCUCUUAUGUUUCAGAAUGGUAACUCCUUAUUGCUAAAGUAUAAUUUUCAAAAGUUAAAAAUCAUGAUCCAUGCAAACACAAAAUAAACAGUUCUGGGCCCUACUGGUUCGUUUUUGCUGCAUGUCUUGAAGGCAGUCAUCUCAGCAAGGACCACUAGUCAUGUUGUUUGGAAGGGUGUUUUGAGACCCACCAGGAGCGCUUGGGAGUUCUCCUCUUCUGACGUAGCGAUGGAUCAUCAGUGAGCUGCCCGGUCACCUCGCGACCAGGGUCAGCGGCCUGGUCACCUUGCCACCAGGGUCUGUGUUUCGGUAGUGUCUGGGCAUGAAGCUGGACACCUUCAGGCCCGAGAGCCUUCUCAUGUCCUUGUAUUCUAACCGUUGAGCUAGUUAAUAGUUAACAGACGUAGGACAGGUGUGUAUCAUUGGUACCCGUCUCUAGAACAGUCAAACGCAAGGAAGUUUCUAGACCCCUGAUUAUAAAAUUUGAUUAGUAAGUAAAGACAACGACUUGUUUUUCUUUUCCUUAGCAUUUUGGUAAGUUAACUUCACAAAAGCAGAACCUAAGUUUUUUCCCUCUUAUUUUUCAGGUGAAGAGAUUAUAAAUCUUCUAUUGAGUGAAAAUAUUUUUCUUAAGGUUGCAUAUACGCCAAGAAAAAAUCCCAAAUGUUUUUAUAUUUUGCCUAAAUACAAAGUUUAAACAAGAAGUUUCCACGGAAGGUAAGAUAAUUUUUGUUUGAUUCUACUUUAUUGUGUAAUUUGCGUAAAUAUGCUGUAUAAGUGGACAUUCAGAGAUGGAUGACAGCAAAAAAUUUCAGUUUGAAGAUGUGCAUAGAGUUUCCUGACUUGUGGGUUUUGUUUUCUUUCCUUUUUUGGUUAUACUGGCAGCCUAUGAAAGUUCCCAGGCCAGGGAUGGAAUACGAGCCGCAUCUGCAACCUGGGCCACAGCUGCUCCACGGUGGGAAUGCCACUCCUGGGGUUUUUUUGACCCUCCUGUGUCUGGUUUUGAGAUGCCGUGUUGCGAAAAAGUGCCUUGGUCCCUCCAAGCCCAAGUGUAAUCCAGAUAAAAACGGGUGCAUUGGGCGUGUGUAGAGAGGCCCAUGCCCUGCCUUACCUGUGGGAAGGCCUCCACCUGCCAGGUGGGAUGGGGGGACUUGUGCUCCUGCAGCGGUAGGUGCUCCUGAAAGGCCUCCCAUUGCCGUCCACUGAGAGGCUGGGUAAAUGACAGAUGCGCGACCUCUUGUGAGUGCCCUGGCGCAAGCUAACUGCUCAGAGGCCGAGAGGACAAGAAGAGAUAGCACCCUUUCGCUCCUUGCUGAAGAAAGCGUAAAUCCUUUUCAGAGCAAAGCAGACUCAGUGUAGGCCCUCAGGACUCCACUGAUUAAAUGUCAGCAAACUUGAGCACACGCACACACACCUUGUGAUCGGAGUGGGCAUGAUUAGGUGCCCCAGCGAGUGCAGGCGUCCAGUACUCAGACACAGUAUAUGUGAUAAUGCGUGAAGUGUGUAAAGAAAUACAAAAUGGAAUAAAAAUUAGUAAUGAAAACCGAAGUGUCACAGUGAUCCACUUAGAACUUUCAGAAAUGAAAAAAAAAGUUGAAAUAAAAAACUCAGUACUUGUGGAUUAGACAGAUUAAACAUGACUGAAGGCAGAAGUAGUGAACUGGAAUAUAUCCCUAAAGAGGCUCUCCCGGGUGCAGCCGGGAGACGGGAGAUGGGAAGUGGCACUCAGAGAAGUGGAGGGUGAGGUGCGUGUC
rnacentral:lncRNA from 1 species